rnacentral:rRNA from 1 species
UACAGAGGGUGCAAGCGUUAAUCGGAAUUACUGGGCGUAAAGCGCGCGUAGGCGGUUAUUUAAGUCGGAUGUGAAAUCCCCGGGCUCAACCUGGGAAUUGCAUUCGAUACUGGAUAGCUAGAGUUCGGCAGAGGGAAGCGGAAUUUCUGGUGUAGCGGUGAAAUGCGUAGAUAUCGGAAGGAAGACCAGUGGCGAAGGCGGGUCUCUGGACAGUUCCUGACGCUGAGGCACGAAGGCCAGGGGAGCAAACGGG